GACGAACGCUGGCGGCGUGCUUAACACAUGCAAGUCGAACGGAAAGGCCCUGCUCUUGUGGGGUGCUCGAGUGGCGAACGGGUGAGUAACACGUGAGUAACCUGCCCUUGACUUUGGGAUAACUUCAGGAAACUGGGGCUAAUACCGGAUAGGAGCUCCUGCUGCAUGGUGGGGGUUGGAAAGUUUCGGCGGUUGGGGAUGGACUCGCGGCUUAUCAGCUUGUUGGUGGGGUAGUGGCUUACCAAGUCUUUGACGGGUAGCCGGCCUGAGAGGGUGACCGGCCACAUUAGGACUGAGAUACGGCCCAGACUCCUACGGGAGGCAGCAGUGGGAAGUCUUGCACAGUGGGCGGGAGCCUGAUGCAGCAGCGCCGCGUGCGGAAUGACGGCCUUCGGGUUGUAAACCGCUUUCGCCUGUGACGAAGCGUGCGUGACGGUAAUGGGUAAAGAAGCACCGGCUAACUACGUG
rnacentral:rRNA from 1 species